AUUAUUAUAUUUAUUAAAGUUUGCUUUGUAUUCAUGAUUACACUUAUUCAUGCUUUAUAUUUAUUAUUGUUUUUAUUAAAGCGACUUCAUUAAAGCUCGGUUUACAUGUAUAUUUGCACUUAUUAUUUGCUUGCUUUGUGUUUGUUAAUGGUUGGUUGAAAGCUUGGACUUGAAAGAAGGAAUAUAGAUUUAUUAACUUCUUUCAUUAUUCAUCUUCUUUCUCUCUCAGCUCCAAAUUCUAAAUUCUAAAUCUCUCAUAGCAACCUUCUACAUUUCUAUAAUAGAGUUAAAGAUCUUAGUUUAAUUGGAAGCAACUAGAUUGGUGAGUCUUUAUUGCUUAUGUUUUCAUUGUGUGAAUAUAUGAUUAAUUUGAAACUCGAGUUGUAUGAAACAUAUUAUAGAAUUUUAUGGACAACAUGAAUAUUUUAUAUUAAAUCAUGGCCAUUGAAAAUGAUUUUUGAGAAUAAUUUUAUUUGUGCAUAACCUAGACAUGUAGGGGUUAAUGACUAAAUUUAUUUCAUAAGACUUAACCUUGUCUUCAAUUUUAUAUAGAUUUUCAAGUUAGACACUAUUGUACUUGAAAACUAUGUUGAGUCCAAACCCAAAUUGCAUUAGUUUGGGCAUCUAAGUAAUUAAAGAAAACAACAUGGGAUUAAAUGAAAUUUUCCUUUAAAAUAGGUUUGUCAUUCAUGUGGCUAUAUAAAAGAAAAAAAAAAAGCAAGCAGUAGCUACAUACUAAAAAGAAGAAAAGACAAGAGAGAAAAAGAGAGAACAAUGGCGUUUUCUCUAGAAUUAGGAGUAAGAUUUUCAAUUUUUGAUUAGAUAAUCAGAAGGUGAUUUUAACUUUAUUUUCUUCCAAAUUUUGAGGGUAAGCUUCUGACAUCGCCCUCUACAAUUCUACUAGUUUUGAUUUUUGUUUUAUCAUCUCAUUGGCUAUUAUUUGAAAUACCCACUUGCUAGAGAGAUAUAUAUUAGGCUGUUACUGUAAGCCAAGAAUAUUGGGAUUCUUGAUGUUGUUAGCCUCUAGUAUUAUCAAGAGAAGAAUUUGUGUUAUAAUUCCAUUAAUAUGAUGGAAGAUUAUAUCGAACUACGAUCCCCUGAUUUUUCCAUUUUGGGUUUUCACGUAAAAUUUGUGUUUUUUAUGGUUAAUUUAUUACUUUGGAUUUUCUUGAUUUAUUUUUCUGCCUAUUUAUUUGUGGUAUACAUUCUGUUUUAAUCACACAAAGAGGGAAAGAAGUUUGUCUCCGCUUAGUUUACAACUGCUUGUGUGAGUUCCUUUCCCAAUAGAGUGGUAUCAGAGUGUCAAGUUAUAUUUUUUUUACUUGUGUGGUUGAGAUGGAGGAGUCCUUGACAUGCAUGAUUAAAUUAAAAUAAUGAAAUUAUGGUAUUUGGAAGUCUAGAAUGGAAGAUUUACUAGACAUGAGAGACGUACAUGAACCCAUUAAAGGCGAAGAGCUUAGACCUGCCUAUUUAGAUGAUAAGAAAUGGGUGCAAUUAAGUCAGAAGACUGUGGAUACUAUUAGGUCAUGGAUUGAUCAAAGUGUAUACCACCAUGUAGCGAAGGAAUCCGGGGUUGAUGUUCUUUGAAGGAAACUGGAAACAAUUUAUGAGCAGCCAACAACAUAGAACAAAGGCAAUUUGAUGAAAAUGCUUGUUAACUUGAAAUACAAGGAGGGGCACAAUAUAACUAAAUAUACUAGUGAGUUUUAGGGCUUGGUUGAUCAGUUGAUUAGUAUGAAAAUUAUUUUAGAUGAUGAGUUACAAGCAUUAUUGUUGCUUAGUUCUUUGCCUGACAGUUGGGAGACACUAGUGGUGUUAAUGAAUAAUUCAGUGCCAAAUAGGAAAUUAACCUUGGAUAUGGUUAUAGAUAGACUGAGAAAUGAAGAAUCUAGAAGAGAGAAUAUUUAAGUAGUUUCUUAUGAGUCAGAUGCUCUUGUUUCAAAAAAGUAAGAAAGGUGAAGGAGAAGCCAAAACAGAAAUUCCUGUCUGUAGAACAAUGGUACCCCCAGAGAAAGAUCUAAGUCCCAAAGAAGAAUAAUGAAAUGCUUUCAUUGUCAAAAAAUGGGUCACGUUAAAAGAGAAUAUAAAUUGUAGAAAAGAGAAUCGGCGAAAGAACAGGUUGAUGCUCAGAAAAAUGACAAAAGAGAACAUUGUAGCCAUUGUUGAUGGUGAUAUAGGUAUUGUUUAUGAUGUAAGAUUUAUAAAUCUCACUUGCCAUACCAGUGAUUGGGUGAUUGAUUUAGGUGUUUCGUUUCAUGUUAUUGCACAUUGUGAUUACAUCACAUCUUAUAUUAAUGGUGAUUACAACCAUGUUCGGAUGAGAAAUGAUGAGGCAUCCGAGAUUGUAGGCAUCAGAGAUAUUUGUUUGGAAACCAACAUUGGCUGUAAGUUGUUGCUUAAAGAUGUCAGAUAUGUACCUGACAUUCGCCUUAAUUUGAUCUCUACAGGCAAGCUUGAUGAUGAUAUACUAACUAAUUUGGUAAAUGAAAAUGAAAGCUCACUAAAGGUUCCCUAGUGUUAGCUAAGGGGGGGAAAGUAAACACUCUCUAUGUGAUAGAAGUCAAGGUCAAGAAAGAAGACGUGAAUAUGGCUGUAAAAUCUUUUGACAUUGAGACAUGGUAUAAAAGGCUCGGUCUUAUUGGUGAAAAAGGGUUAGGAACUCUUGCUAGAAAAUGAUUUCUACCCAACUUCGCAGGUAUGUCCCUCAAUACUUGUGUUCAUUACUUAGUUGGAAGGGCGCACAAAGUAGCUUUUAAAAGCUUUUCUCCAUCUAGAAAGUCACAAAUCCUUGAUUUAAUUCACAUAAAUGUUUGCAUAAUACAAAGUAGAUCAAUAGGAGAUGUACUUUAUUUUAUGACUUUUAUUGAUGAUUGUUCUAGAAAAAGUGUGGGCUUUUGCUUUAAAAUCUAAAGACUAAAUGCUUGGUACAUUUAAGUUCUUCCAUGCUUAUGCUGAGAGAGGGACAUGAAGAAAAUUAAAAUGUGUCAGGGCAGAUAAUGGUGGUGAAUACAGAGAACCAUUUAAGUAAUACUAUAGAUCCCAAGAAGCAGACUUACUGAUAGAAAGAUAGAAACUUAAAGAAAAAAUGAUUAUGUUCGAGAUGGUUAAACACAAGGAAAUUCGCCAACUAAGAACAUAGGGGAAACAUUCUACACCAGGAAAAGAUCCCCUCGAUUUAUCACUUGGAAGAAUGGAAAGCUUUACUGAAGGAAUAGUAGACCGGACAUCCGGUAGACAUAGGAGACUAGAAAGCCCUGAUACGCCGAAGCCCUUGAUUCUGGUCCUUAGGCUAACUUACAAUUAGUCAGGAAUUGCGUAAGAGAAGAAAACAUAAGUUAUCAUGAUUUUAAUGCACAAGGAUUAAUGACAUUUCCUUGUCAACUUAUUGAACAAGACCAAAACCUUCAACAGGUACUGGACCAACUUAUUGAGGAGGAACAAGUACUGGACGGCACCACAAGUUCAUUAUUAAUAGAUCGAUUUAACUAUGCUAUGCCCCCCUUCUUUGCCACCGGCAAACUUUUCAGUAUUGAAUUCAGGUGCCGGAACAACAUCCUCUAAAGCAAUGGGCACAGUCGAGCUCGUGGUGUCUGUCUUUGUCUCUGUCACAGUCUAACCUAACUGUUCAACCAUUUCCUAAUAACGAUCAUAGCAUAGCUCCUUCUCAGUAGGUCUACUUGUGACAAUUCUUUCUAAUUAAGUGUCUGAAAUAAAAGUUGUCUUUUAGGGCAUCUCAUAAGAACAUAGAACCAUAUUCAUUAUGUCAAAAAUUAGAGAUUCUAGUACUUCGACUAGAAUUAGUUUUCAAUAGAUUCGUGAAAAGAUGUAUAAGUCUCGGUAUUGUAAUUGUACUUGUGGCUAGUUAUAGUUAGAGUCUUGCACCUGUGCCAAGUGGUAAUAGCAAGCAGGCUAAGUUCCUUUCUCGUCUCAGACUUAUAAUUGAUUUAUCAGCGACAAUAUCAAAUCAACAAAGAUUUGGUGUUACCUGAACAUCAUCCCCCUGACCUUGAGACGUUUGGAAUGGAAGAAUAAUCCGAGUUUGCCCAUACCAACCACAUGUUUUCAUUUUAGAGGGAAUCUUAUUCGGGAUCAAAAGAGGGCUAAGGCCUAACGUUGUUAGAGGAGACCUUCUCUUACUGGCAUUCACUUGGAGCUCUCUUUUUAGGGCAACCCUUUCACCGAUCUUUAAACUGUAUGAGAAGUUGUACUACUAACUUUGUCUACAGUGGGUGAGUGUCGAUUUCAUUAAAAACAUAUAUUAACGUAUAUAGAAUAGAAAUAUGAGCAACUAUUGCCCACUGAUGUUAGCGCAAAGGUCCUUAGUCAAACAUAAGGAUCUUAUUCAUUAAAGGACGGAAAAUGAAGGUAAACCAAGAGUACCGAAACUCAUCAACAAGUAGGCAUGUCCACUACUUAAUCUUUAAGUAUUAGUAAUGUUACUAGGCACUAUACAUAUCUUCCAGUACUUUCAAUCGGGAAAAAUAACUAUUUAAGUGGAAAGGCCUAUCUAUACGGUUCAGUUCUCUUUAGACUUAACCAAUUCGACUAGGGUAGCCUGUUUAGGUGUUAGAUAAUGUCUUCUUAGCCUUGGAUUUUCUUACCCUUAGGUUUUUUCUUCUUUAUGGAUUGCAAUUGUUUGGUAAUAGCCGGCACUUUAGAAAUCUUAGCAAACCUUUUCCUUUUUUGUAGGAGCUCAAUUUUGGAUGACAUCCUUAGAUAUCAUUCUUCAGUUUCUCCUUUUCUUGAUUGAGAAUUUUAUCACCUAAAACAAGUUCAAUCUCAAUCUGAGAAUUAAGUGAGGUAUCAUUGUUGAGUGUUAGAAAUUGUAUAUUUAUAAAAGAGAAAAUCAUAAUUUUACACUUCAAGUCUCACUACAUCCAUACUUUUAUAUAUUUAAGUUUGUGAUUUAAUUAUGUGUGUUUUAUUUUAAUUAAGUAUUUUAUGUAUUUUAUGUAUUUUAUGGGCAUCAUGGUCAUUUCACAAUCAAUGAGAGAUCAGAUAGCAAAGCGGACAAUAAUUUUGGACUUAGGACAGUCGAAAACCUUAUGAGGAGUAUAAAAGGGUAAACGACACUGUUCACAUGUACGGUACUGUACAUGAGACUGUUCACAACACUGUUCACAUAUAUGAUAUGAUGACAUGGCGUUGACCGAUGACAUGGCACCAACCAAUGACGUGGCAGAAUUCGAUUGAACGAAUGAUGUGGCAUUGGCUGCUUAUGUGGCGUUGACUGAUGAGUUGGCGUUGACCGAUGAUUUGUCACGAUGCUAUUGAACUAAAAUGUUGAUGUGAUGUUGAUCAGUGAUGUGGCAGUAUGUUAGUGGACCAGGAAACGUGCGUAUGAUACAUGUAUUACACAAAAUGACAACCUUGAUGAUGUGUUCUAUCUAAUCAGAACUUGCCACGUGGCGCAAUCCUAAGCGUCCAAAUUGUUUUAAUAUGUGGCCAUGAUUGAAUCAUUGUAUCUAAAAAAGGGGCUCUGCCCCUAAUUUGACACCCCUGAAUCCAUUUUUUAGCUCCAUUUUCUAUAAUUCCUUCUCCAUCUUGUAUUUUCUAUGUAUUUUAAUAAAUUUUUAUUUUACCCCUAAUCCAAUUAUGAGUAACUAAUUUUCUUUUAUGCUUAGGUUGAAGGUGAAGUCUCAACAUGUUCCAUGAGCUUAAUUUGGUAAAUUUACUUUCUCUUCCCCUCUAAUAUCUGUGGAUGUUUUGACUUUUCAUCGACAGAUAAUAAUAAUCUUGUCUAGACGUAGUAGAAGGUUAUUACUAUUUGGCACGAUAAGCUCUUAGCAUCAUAUUUAUUUGAGUGUGGUUCAUGAGGAGUAGAAAUCCCCCUUAUGAUUUAAUUGACAUUAAUAAGGAAUAUCUAACUCAUGAUGCAUGUUGAUACAGAUCCAUAUACCUAAACACUUUAUUUCAAUAGUUUCCAGUUUAAUUUAUUCCCGCCAUUCCAAUUUAAAUUCUAGGAUAAUCUAAAUCAAUUUCACCACAAAUCCAACCACCCACUGAGAAAAUUUAUUCUACACAAUUAAAAUCCACCUCCUCGUGGGAUCGACACUCGUCACCAUUGAUUUAUUCUACAAUAGAUUCGUGCACUUGUGAGUUCAAUAAAAUUUGCACAACAAGUUUUUGGCACCGUUGCCGGGGAGGUAAGUUUUUUUAAUUCGUAGAAUUAAUUUUUGUAAAUAAUUUCUUUUAGUUGUUUUCUUGUAAUUUUUUUCUUAUUAAAAAAAAAGAAAAAAAGUGAAUCUGCAUUUUAAGGUAAGAAUUUUUUUUCUUUUUCUAUUCUUUAAAUUUUUGUAAUUUAAUUUUCAAGUUAUUUUUUUUUGUAAUUUUUCGUUUAUCUUGUUAAUUUAUUUUAAUUUUAAUUAAUUUAUUACACGUAAUUUUUUUUUCUAUAGCACUUGAAUGUAUUUUCAUAGUAAAGUUGUAACAACGUGAUAAGAUUAGUAUCGUAAUUUCUCAUUCUCCUUUAUUUUUACUAGUUUUGUUUUCAUUUCUUUUGUUAUUUGCAUUCAUGGUCAAAUGUCGAAAUUACCUAAUCUUGAGCCCAUAGACUUUGAACUGAAAAAAACACUUCGCACACACAAACACAUUAAAAAUAAAAUUGAAAUGAAUAUUCAACAACAGCAACAAGCACCACCAGAGAUGUCAUUUAAGGAUUACUUCAGUCCCUUAGCUAACUUGAGCACAUCAUGCAUAAGAUACGCAAAUGUAGCUGCUAGGAGUUUUGAGUUAAAACCUAGUAUGCUAAAUUGUCUCCCAACAUUCUAUGGCCUAGAAAAUGAGAACUCAUAUAAUCAUCUAAAUGAUUUUCAUGCUGUUUGUCAAACUUUUAAAUAUGAGAAUUUUUCAGACGAUGAUAUUAAACUUAGACUAUUCUCAUUUUCUUUAAAGGAUAAAGCUCGUUCAUGAUUCAAUACAUUACCUACUAAUAGCAUUUCACAUGGGAAUAAAUGGUAACAAAAUUUUUGAAUAAAUAUUUCCUAGUGCGUAAAACCAAUGCUAUUCGCAGGGAACUUUCAGAGUUUACCCAGAGAGAAAACGAACAGUUUUUCGAAGCAUGAGAGCGAUUAAAUGAGCUACUUUUAAAGUGUCCACAUCAUGGGUACGAGAAAUUGCACCAAUGCCAAUACGUUUUGGAGGGAUUAUUGCCGCAUGUGCAAGAAUGGCUAAUGACAACAAGUGGAGGAGAGCUAAUGUAAAAAAGUGCAUCAGAGAUUUGAGAUUUCUUCUAGCGACAAGUAAAUAAUUCCCAACAACGGAGUUGAUCACUCAGGAAUACUAAAAGAAUUAAAGAAGUGAAUGAGGUUCACAUUGGCGAGUCAAGUUCAGGAAUUAAAGAAGUCAAAGAGAUGAUUGAAGGUUUUUCCCGACAAAUAGCAUCGUUAACGACUGCUAAAUCAAUAGAACCACAUGACCAUGACUCAUACUCAGAUCAAGCCAAUGCCAUAUGUGUAAUGAGAAAACCAUCAAAUUACAACCUAUAUUCCAACACAUAUAACCCUAGAUAGAGAGACCGCCCCAAUUUUUCAUGGUAUCAAGGAUUCCAACAGAAUGGACCAGCAGUUUCAGCUUCACCAAUGUAACAAAUUCCUUAAGUUCUUUAAGCCUCUCAGCCACCAUUUAGACCAUACAAUUAGAACCAGAACUACUCUCAACCCAAACCAUGGGAAGAUGCAUUCCAGAAUUUCAAAAACUUUACUCAAUCCACGAUUGAGCAACAGAACCGCACCAUUGAUGAACUACAAAAUGAGAUGAGAGUAGACUUUAACUCACAAGCCCAAUCAAUUUCAAACCUCGAGAAGAUGGUUGGACAGCUUGCCUCUUCAGUUCAAACUUUGGCAAUGACUGUUGAGAAAGACAAAUUCCCAAGUCAACCUAUGCCUAAUCAUAAAGGAGUGCAUGAAGCACGUAUCAGUUCACCACAGCAGCAUGGAAAGGUCAAAGCCGUCAUGACCUUGCGAAAAGAAAAAGAAGUCGAUAAUAAAAUAGAGAUGCCGGUGACAAAAACAACUCAAAUUGUACCUAUGAAUACUGAGGACUCAUCAUCGGAGGAGAAAGAAGAAACUAACCCAUAAGAAUACGUUCCCAAAGCUCAUUUUCCUUAGAGGUUAGCUAAAGGAAAGAAGGGAAAAUCCACAGGUGAAAAUUUUGAAAUCUUCAAACAAGUAAUUGUUAACAUCCCUUUACUUGAUGCUAUAAAAUAAGUGUCAUCUUAUGCCAAGUUUCUUAGAGACCUUUGUACUAAAAAGAGAAAUAUUCAUAUUCAAAUGAAUGCUUUUUUAACAGAAAACGUUAGCUUUAUACUCCAACACAAAAUUCCUCUAAAAUACAAAGACCCAGGCUCCCCCACUAUCUCAUGUAGCAUAAGGAACCACACAAUUGAGAAUGUUUUGUUGGACUUAGGAGCUAGUAUAAAUAUGUUGCCUUAGUCAGUAUUUGUGAAACUGAGACUAGGAGAAUUACACCCAACUCCAAUGGUGUUACAGCUUGCAGAUCGGUCCACGAAAAUACCUCGUAGUAUUGUGGAGGACGUGCUUAUCCAGGUAGAUAAGUUUUCUUUUCCUGUUGAUUUCAUUGUAAUUGACACUCAACCAAUCCAGGAUUUAAGAAGUACAUCCUCAUUUUCUUAGGUCGACUUUUCUUGGCAACUGCUGAUGCUCCCAUUCAAUGCAGGACUGGAAAUAUGCAGUUGUCCUUUGGCAAUAAGGCUAUGGAGCUAAACACCUUCAACAUUGCCAAACAACCUAACAAUGCAGGUGAUAGAAUUGUUGAUGUGGAUUUAAUAGAAGCAUUAGUUGAUAAUACUUUUCUUUCAAACCUUAGUGAUCACCCUUUACAAACAUGUUUAACUCAUUUUGGUUUAGAUUUUGAUAUUGACAGAUCAAUCGAUGAGGUCAACGCCCUACUUGACUCAGCACCAUCCAUGACCACUAAUAAAUGGAAGUCAAGAGUUGAAUAACUAGUACCGUCAGAGAAGAAACUCAACCCAUCAUCAGAAUCACCACCAAAACGCGAGCUUAAACCAUUACCCAACACUUUGGAAUAUCUGUUCUUGGGAAAAUUAAGCACUCUGCCAGUAAUCAUCUCAUCAUUCCCUAAAUGACGAACAAAAAGAUAAGUUGUUGGAAGUGUUAAAAGAACACAGAGGGGUAUUAGGAUGAACCAUAACUGACAUAAAAGGUAUAAGCCCAAUAGACUACAUGCAUUACAUUCACCUUAAUGAAAAUGCUAAACCUAUUAAGGAUAUGCAACGUCGGUUGAACCCUAACAUGAAAGAAGUUGUUAGAACUAAAGUCCUUAAGCAAUUAGAUGUAGGUAUCAUUUACCCUAUUUCUGAUAGUUCAUGGACCAGUCCUAUACAAGUUGUCCCCAAAAAGUCAGGAGUCACAGUAGUUACCAAUGCUGAUAAAGAAUUGAUACCCAUUAGAGUGACUACAGGGUGGCGUGUAUGCAUUGAUUAUAGAAAGUUGAAUUCUGUCACACGUAAGACCAUUUUCCUUUAUCAUUUAUCGAUCAAAUGCUUGAUAGAUUAACAGGUCAUAAAUUUUAUUACUUUUUCGAUGGCUACUCAAGAUAUAAUCAAAUUCCCAUAACACCAAAAGAUCAAGAGAAAACCACUUUCACUUGCCCUUUUGACACUUUUGCAUAUAGGACGAUGUCAUUUGGAUUAUGUAAUGCACCUACUACAUUUCAAUGAUGCAUGUUAAUCAUUUUUUCUUAUAUGGUUGAACGAUUCCUUGAAGUCUUUAUAGAUGACAUUUCUUUCUUUAGUGAUUCAUUCGAUCAAUGUUUACAUCAUCUAACACUAGUUUUGUAGAGAUUUAUCGAGAAGAAUUUGAUAUUAAAUUGGGAGAAGUUGUUAGCCUAAAGGGCUACACAUAAUGUAAUUUUGAUGAUAACAAACAUGUGUAUUAAGUGAUUUAAUAAAUAUUGUAUUUAACAUUUUCACUAGUUUUUGAAGCGUAAAAUUUAUGCAAGUGAAUCAAGUGAAAUCAAGCUCAAGACACUCAACGGACAAUGGCGAAAUCAAGAAUAAAGUUUAGAGCUCAAUGGAAAAAUUAUUGCAAUAACUUCUUGUAAAGCCGGUAUGAUUUAAUUGAUGCAUGAUUUAACAUUUGAGAAGCUCAAGAGAUUUAUUUAAACAAUUACUUUUUAUAAACUAAAAGGUUUUAUUUUUAUAAGGUAAGGUAUUUUGUGGAUUUGAGUAAUUUGUACUUAAAUGAAAAGUUUUGCAAUCUUUGAUUUUAAUAAGUAUUAUUUUGAAUUAAGGAGUUGGACCUUUUUGCAAACAUUUGAAAUGUUUUGGGCCAUAAUAUAAUUUAUGAACAUUUUGGACUAAAGAGAACGAUUUUGAGAACUUUGAAAAAUAUGGGUAUUGUGUUAAAAUUUUGAAAAAGGACCUCUUUGAAAAAUAAUAAUAUAUUUGGGUUAUUUCAUAAGUUCAGAAAGUUUUGAAAUGGCAAUCACUAUUUAAAAAUUAUGAAAUUAGACUUAUUUACAAAGUUUUAUAAUAUUUUGGGCCAUAAUAUAAUUAUAAAAAGUUUUGGGCCAAAGUGUAAUUGUGCUGAACAAUGUUAUUGUAGCAAAAUUCAAAAAUAGAGGUAAAAUCACUGUUACAAGCGGCUAGCCAGUUAAAUCAAGUAGCUAAUUGCUUGGUUGCGGGAAUUGGUCUAUAACGGCUACUUUUCGGGCUUUAACUAUAAAAACUCAACUCCAACUUCAUUUUAAGAACUAAUGCAAGCAUAAAUAAGAUCAUAUAACAUAUAUUGAGCUUCCAAAUCGUAAAUCAUCAUAGACUAAAUCAUUAUUGUGCUAUUAUUUGCAUAUAUACUCUUAAAGAGAGUUUUUGUUGUAAUUUUCAUUUCUUAUCAAAUUGUGAGUGUACAAGUGUGAGAAACACUUGGGGUGAAGAGAUUGGGGAGAUAAUCUCUUGAUUGUAAAGGUUCGUUGACACCUUAGAAGUCAAUUGUAAGAACUUAAAGCCUUGGGAGGCUUAGAUAUUAAAAUCCUCGAGCUUGGUUGGCUUGGAGGUGUGGACGUAGGCGGGGAUUGCUGUACCAUGUAAAAAUCCGUGUGUUUAUUUUUCUUUUCCCUUACUCUUUAUUGUUAUGCUUGUUUGAAUUUAUUGUUUUCUAUUCCAUUAAGGCGUUAGAUUGAUUUGUUGUGCGAAUUGUAUUGCAUUAGUUUUAAAAUCCCAAUUCAUCCCCCUCUUGGGUUGCAUAACUUGCAUUUCAGAAGUGCCAUUUUAUGGUAAAAUAAGGUAUAGUUCUCGGUCACAUCAUUUCAAGCAAAGGUAUUAAGGUUGAUAAAGCCAAGGAGGAUCUCAUUUCCAAUCUUCCUCCACUUAAAACAGUUAGAGAAGUAAGAUCUUUACUUGGGCACACUGGUUUUUAUAGACGUUUCAUUAAAAAUUUUAGUAAAGUUUCUCGACUCUUAAGCAAUCUACUUGCUAAGGAUGCACCUUUUGUCUUUGAUUAUUCAUGUCUUGUGGCAUUUGAAAAACUAAAACGAUUGUUGACAUCAUCACCCAUCAUUCAGCCUCUAAACUGGAGUUUACCAUUUGAGCUUAUGUGUGAUGCAUCUGAUUACGCAGUAGGAGCAGUAUUAGGAUAAAGAGUUGAUUGAAUUCCCCAUGUUAUUUACUAUGCUAGUAUGACAUUGAAUGAUGCACAAUUGAACUAUUCAACCACUGAAAAAGAAAGGCUAGCAGUAGUGUUUGCAUUAGAGAAAUUUCGAUCUUAUCUCAUUGGUUGUAAAAUAUUGUGUUCACAUAUUGUGCUUGUCUUAAAAAUAUCUUUUUACAAAAAAAGUUGCAAAAGCUAGACUAAUUCAUUGGGUGUUACUUUUGUAGAAAUUUAACUUGGAAUUUAAAGAUAAGAAAGGCACAAAAAAUAUUGUGGCUGACCAUCUCUCUCGUCUCCAUUUUGACACAAUAAUUAAAUUAUUACCAUUGAAUGAAUCAUUUCCAGAUAAACAAUUGAUGAAUGUGGAAGUAUUACCAUGGUAUGCUGAUAUAGUUAAUUAUCUUGUUACAGGUCAAUUUCCAGAGCAUUGGACUAAGCAGGACAAAACCAAUUUUUUUACGGAAAUAAAGAAUUUCUUUUGGGAUGACCCUUAUCUGUUCAAGUAUUGUGCAUAUCAAAUAAUCAGACGAUGUAUCACAGAAAGUGAAUUUUAAAACAUUCUUUCAUUCUGCCAUGAACAAGCUUGUGGAGGUCAUUUCAGCGCUAAGCAAACAACUACUAAAGUUUUACAAUGUGGUUUCUAUUAGCCAAUUAUAUUUCGAGAUACUCAUAUUUUUGCUCUUCAUAUUAUAGGUGCCAAUGAAUAGGGAGCAUUACAAGAAGGAAUAUGAUGCCACUAAAUCCAAUUUUAGUGGUUGAGAUUUUUUAUGUAUGAGAUAUCGACUUCAUGAGACCCUUACCCCCUUCUUUUGGCCAUUAAUACAUAUUGGUUGCUGUUGACUACAUAUCAAAAUGUGUAUAAGCAAUUUCAAGUAGAACCAAUGAUUACAAGGUGGUGAUAGGAUUUUUAAAAAGCAACAUUGUGUCACGCUUUAGAUUUCCUCGAGCAAUAAUCAGUGAUGGUGGUGCCCACUUUUGUAACAAAUCAUUCAAAGCUCUUUUGACAAAGUAUUCCAUCACUCACAAAGUGGCGACCCCAUAUCAUCCGCAAACCAGUGGCCAAGUUGAGAUCUCCAAUCGAGAAAUAAAGCACAUAUUAGAAAAGACAGUGAGGCCAAAAAGAAAAAGAUUGAUCAUUAAGACUUGAUGAUGCAUUAUGGGCAUAGAGAACAACUUUCAAGACCCCGAUUGGGAUGUCACCCUGUAGGUUAGUGUAUGGAAAAACUUACCACUUACCUAUAGAACUUGAGCAUCGUGUGUAUUGGGCCAUCAAGAAAUUCAACUUUGAUAUGCAACAAGCUAGCUCAGAAAGAAGAUUAUAGUUGUCAGAACUUGAAGAAAUUCGCAAUGAUGCAUACAAAAAUGCCAAGAUUUACAAGUAGCAAAUGAAAGUCUUUCAUGACAAGCAAAUUUUGUGAAAAUCUUUCACCCUAGGUCAGAAAGUGCUUUUAGUCAAUUCUCGCUUGCACCUAUUCCCAGGUAAGUUACGCUCUCGAUGGUCUGGCCCCUUUAUUAUCCAUACUGUUUUUCCACAUGGGGCAGUUGAAAUUAAGAAUCCAAAGAACGGUGUCACUUUUAAAGUUAAUGGUCAAAGAUGAAAGCGAUAUCUAGAGUACCAAUCACAUAAAGAGGACACUGAAAUAAAUUUGAGUGACCCACCAGAUUUGCAUUGAAAUUUUUCUUUCUUUUCGAUGAUUUAAUUUUUUUCUUUAUUUUUUUACUAUUCUUUUGCUAAUUGAAAUUGUUUUUGCAUAAUUGUGUUUGUUUAACCAUUAAAUUUUCUUUUAUCAUUGUUAAUCAUGAGCGCCUCAGCUAAACAGAUCCUCUUGGACAUUCUUAGACGACUUCAACGUGUAAAAUCUCAUCUUAGAAGCCAUAUUUGAUUUUGUAAAACACAUUAUAUUUGGGAUCUACAACCACCAAAGUUAGUAUCCCAUGUUGAGGCUUUAGAAAGACAACUCAAAGAUAUUGAGGGAGGUAUCUUUGACAUCCAGUUGGAGCUUGAGGUAAAUUCAUAAGAGGACGAUUGUAAUUUUCUUUGUGUGUUUUAGUUUUUACUCUGUUUGUGUGUUUUUGUUUGUUACCCCGGUUAAGUGGCGGAUAACGGUACUCCGUGACAAUCAAGUCGGUUACUUCAGUUUUCCAUAACAACUGAUAUUCUGAGGCGAAGGUAUAGACAGAAACGAGAUUUUAGCAAAGCUUCACAAUCGAUUCCCUUCACUUCCUCAGAAUACCCUCCACACUAUCUAUAAAGUUUGAUCCGAAUGCAUGCGAUUUCUUAUUAGGAAUAACAUACCUACUGACAUCCACUAGUUAAUCGAGGCCAAAGAACGAUUGGCAGGUGAGUUGCAUCUCAAAUUUAUUGCAUACAUGUUUGGUUGUGGUAAAAGAAAUUAUGCAAGAAAACAAAGAGCUCGAAGAAUUUCUGUUGCUUGUCAUAAGUGUGCCAGAAUGAGAUGCGAUAAAAACUCAUGUUCUUUAGGAAUGGUGUCUGAUUAUAGGGAAUACAAGAUUCAAUUCAUUAGGGAUGGCUUGAAUAAGGAGUCAUUGUAUGAUAUCCUUUUGACUCUUGAAACACAUCCCAAUGGAUACGUACAUGGAGCAAUUCUCCAAUUAUGGCCAUCAUUCUAGAAAGAGCGUGAACGAUAUAGUCUCACGAAUCUGACUAUAAACGACCCUGUUUGCCAGUUUAUAAGAAAACUAGAUGAGAAGCCUAUCCUCGACCUAUAAAGGGUGUUCAAGUCGUUUUUGGACGAAAAAUCAGAGGAAGAUGUAAGCCACAAUCGCAAUUACCUCUAAAUAUCCUUUUACUUCACUGUUGUUUUAUCAUUUGCAUUAUUGUCUUUAAUAAUUUUAUUUUAUCAUUGUUUAUUUUUUCCUUUUUGACUCUCGAGCCAUGUGCUUUACACGUUAAUUGACACUGACAUGCUACGUCAUACACAGCUGUGACCCACUGUCACUAAGAUCCUUAAUAUGAUUUCUUUUAAGCACUCAAAAAUUAUUUUUUAGAAAUAUUCCAAUGGCAGCUAGUCAUAAUAAACAAUUCAAGAACAUUUGUGUGCUUUCUGGAUUUAACUAUGACAAACAUAAAGAGUUCGUUGAGGCAGCCAUAGAUCUUGGUCGAAGAAUAAUAAAGAGAAAAUUAUACUUGGUGUUUGUAGGAGGUAAUCGAGAGUUCUAAAAAUUGGUCUCAGAAGCUGCUUAUGUCAGGGGAAGCCAAGUGUUAGGCAUCAUCCCAAGAGCCCUAAAACCUUUGGGCAGUUUGUCUGACUCACCGAUUGGAGAAGAGUUAGUUGUCUCAGGUGUGCAAGAGAGAAUAACUAAAAUGCUAAAUCAUGCUGAUGCUUUUAUUUUCCUACUAGGAGAUCUUGCAACUCUAGAGACACUUAUCAUGUUAGCAUCUUGGGUCUAUCUAAACAUUCACCAGAAACCCAUCGAUUUGUUAAAUGUCAAUAACUUUUAUGACGGCUUUAUCGCAUUUCUUAACUAUACAAUCAAAAACUAUUUCGUUCAUUACACAACAAAAAAAGUUUUUAUUUGUGCUCACAUUGCUAAUGAGCUACUUGAUCUGUUACAAGCUUAUCGACCAAAGCCAGAUCUCAAGACCUUGGUGUUGCAGUAUCCAAAUAAUGAUGGUAGCAAUAGCCACAGUAAGAAAUGCAAAUUAGAUUUAACUCUCCGUUUGUAAAUAUGUUCUUCUGUGUUACACCACAUAGGUGAUGUCUUCUAAACUCUACUUCUUUCUUUUAAAACAUUGAGGACAAUGUUUUGUUCUAGUUGGGGGGGGGGGGGAGAAUAGUUGACAAUUGUGGAAUGUCUCAAUCUUGGUUAAGUUUUUAUUAGUUUUUUGUUGUAGAGACUAACCGCGGCUAACUUUUUAAGUCGAAGAUGGCUGAAUAUGGAGUGUAGUAACUCUAGAAACGCAUCUUUUUGGUUUGGAAGUAAAAAAACAAAAAUCCAGACAUUUUUUUUCUUUAUUAAGCUUUGACAAUUAUUUUUUUUCUAACUUCAUCUUUCUAAUUUCUCCUUUAUAAAUAUACACUUUCAAAUUUUUGAGUCGAAAAUGACUGAAUAUGGAGUGUAGUGACUUUAGAAACGCAUCUUCUUAGUUAAAAAAAAAAAAAUUCAGACAUUUUUUUUCCUAUCAUUUUAAGUGUAACUUUUCUAAUUUGUUUUUCUACAUCGUUUUCACCUUUUUGCAUGCAUAUUUUCUUUUCAUGUUUAGAAUAGGUUGGGGAAUAGAAUGUCGUUUGAAAAAAAAAUUAUGUGAUUUUUUUAAACAUUGGAUGAUAUGAUGACUUUCAAAUUUUAGUAUUUGUAUUAUCUUUGGUCUUAAGUGAUGUUACGCCAUGUUUGCCACUCUAUAUGUUGAUGUCGUAGACAAAUAUGAGUUGCUUGAAGGAAUGCACAUGUCAUAAUGAAUACCAAGUGAGUUUUUAAGCUUGUCAUUUUUCUUGGAGAGUAACCCUUUUUGUCCAUUUUUUAUACAGCUUAGCAGUUUAUUAUUUUAUACACGAUCUCUAGAUUUCCUUUGAGUCAAUCCUAUAAAAAAAGGUUAAAUAAAAUAAAAAGUGAAAAAAAUGUGUUGCUACAUCUGAAAGUCUAUCUAACUAGUAGAUAUGGAAGAUUAUUUAGAGCCCUAAAAGAUGAUGGAAAUGCCAUCUUUGACCCGUUUGAGCAUUUUUAACCAUCCCUUUUGUGAAAUAUCCACAGUUAACCCUUUUGAGCCUUUCAUAUAAAAAAAAAUUUUUUUUUUGGUCAACUUAUCAUCUUGACCUACUCCGAUUUGGAGUAUUACCUGAUGUCUUACAAGUUCCAUAACUUAUUCAUAUUAAGAAAAUAUAAAUAAUUAGUUUGUUUAGUAAAGUUGUGCCAUACAAAAAAAAUUAUUUUUUUUUAAAAAAGAGAAAAAAAUAAUAAAUAACAAAUAAAUGAAAUACACCUUGUAAUUUCCAAAAGAUCUCUACUUUUUCUCAAACAUAUAUUUUGUUUUUCUUAUUUCCACUCUUUUGUUAGCCAUGUCCCUAGCCUACGUUACGUCCUAAUAAAAGUCCUUCUUGAUUUUAGGGAUCUAUAGUCUGAAGUAGAAGCUAGUUAUAUGGGGUAAAAAGAUGUAGUGAUGCAUAAAAAGACAAAUAAAUAAAUACAUUAGUUUGACUAACAUUUUGUUUGACUAAGAUUGUGUUAUUUCUAAGCUGUGGGCAUACUUCUUUCAUCUUGGUGAGAGUGUGUGAUAUCACUUAUUUAUUAUUUUCUCUCAAUUUACCAUUCAUUGAAGCGAUUAUAUUUAUUGGCUUUAAUUUUUUUUUGUGAGAGUGUCAUUAUUACCAAUGAGCUUUUGGGGUUUGACAUAUCAUUCUUGAAAGUGGCUUGAUUACUAUAGCUGUGAUAAAGCUUGCUGGACUGAUGCAUGUGGAUGGUUGAUGUGGGUGUGAUGUUUGUUUAGACUGAAGAUAAUGCUUAUACUUUUAUUUGAUUGCUAUCAUUAGGCUAAUUGAAUAAACACGAUUGUUUUUUAAAAAAAAAUAUUUUGGGUUUGAAUUUUGUCUUCACUUUAUUUGCUAGGAACUAACAAUAAGUUGGUUGGGGGUGUGUUGAGUGUUAGAAAAUUUAUAUUUAUAAAGGAGAAAAUCGUCAUUUUACACUUCAAGUCUCACUAACAUCCCAACUUUAAUAUAUUUAAGUCCCUUGUGAUUUAAUUAUGUGUAUUUUAUUUUAAUUAAGUAUUUUGUGUAUUUUAGGGGCAUCAUGGUCAUUUCACAAUACACGAGAGAUUAGAUAGCAAAACGGAAGGCAAUUUUGAAUUCAGGACAGUCGAAAACCUUAGGAGGAGUAUAAAAGGGUAAACGACACUGUUCACAUGUACGGUACUGUUGUGUUGACCGAUGAAGUGACAUUGACCGAUGACAUGGCACCGACUAAUGAUGUGGCAGCAUUCGAUUGGACAAAUGAUGUGGCAUUCACUGCUUAUGUAGCGUUGACUGAUGAGUUGGCGUUGACCGCUGAUGUGUCACGAUCCUAUUGAACUAAAAUGUUGAUGCGGUGUUGAUCGGUGAUGUGACGGUAUGUUGUUAGGGGACCAAGAAACAUGCAUACGAUACAUGCAUUACACGAAAUGACAGCCUUGAUGAUGUGUUCUAUCCAAUCAGAACUUGCCAUAUGGCUCAAUCUUGAGCGUCCAAAUUGUUUUAAUCCGUGGCCAUGAUUUACUCAUUGUAUCUAUAAAAAGGGGGAUCUCCCCCCUAAUUCGACACCCCUGAAUCCAUUUUUGAGCUCCAUUUUCUGUAAUUCCUUCUCCAUCUUGUAUUUUCUAUGUAUUUUAAUAAAUUUUUAUUUUACCCCUAGUUUAAUUAUGAGUAACUAAUUUUCUUUUAAUCUUAGGUUGAAGGUGAAGUCUCAACAUGUUCCAUGGGCUUUAUUUGGUAAAUUUACUUUCUCUUCCCCUCUAAUAUCUGUGGAUAUUUUGACUUUUCGUCGAUAGAUAGUAAUAAUCUUGUCUAAACGUAGUAGAAGGUUAUUACUAUUUGGCAUGUUAAGCCCUUAGCACCAUAUUUAUUUAAGUGUGGUUCAUGAGGAGUGAAAAUCUCUCUCACGAUUUAAUUGGCAUUAAUAAUGAAUAUCUAGCUCAUGGUGCAUGUUGAUGCAAAUCCAAAUACCCAAGUACUUUAUUUCAAUAGUUUCCAGUUUAAUUUAUUCCCGCUAUUCCAAUUUAAAUUCUAGGAUAAUCUAAAUCAAUUUCGCCACAAAUCCACUAAGAAAAUUAACUCUACACACGAUUAAAAUCCAGCUCCUCUUGGGAUCGACACUCAUCACCGUUGAUCUAUUCUACAAUAUAUUCGUGCACUUGCGAGUUCAAUAAAAUUGGCACAACAAUCAUCAUAUGUUACGUCCUUAGGACGAGUGUGUACCCAAUUAUUAUCAUUAUCAUAGACAUGAUCCCUUUUGCUACCGGUAGUAAGCAUAACUUUGCUUUCCUUUUUAUUAUGUUUAGAUCCUUCCACUCAAUUUUGAAGUAAUUAUCCACGGUAUUCUUCACCUCCGACUAAGGCUUCGUACUCGCCUAAAUGUAAUUGUGGUGGCAAGCCUUCAAUCAAACAGUUUUCUAGAAGUUGUAUCCAUGCAAAAAGUUCCAAUUCCGUCUUCUGUUUGAGGAGACAAAAUUGAUCGAGAAUAGGCAGAGGGAUUCCUCCAUUACCAUUAUGGAAAUGCGUGACAUCAGGAAUAUGAUGGAAAGGGCUAGGGUAGGCUCUACAUUAGGAAUAUGAUGGAAAGGCCCCGGCUCUAGAAGCGAAUUCGAAUCGGCGCUUGAGGCAGAGUUCACAUCCUCAGAGCCCAAGAAAAAAUUUAUAACACUGAUGUCAAGCCCCAAGAGUAAAUUACAAAAAGGAAAAUAAAAAUAAAUAAAACUAAGUCUAACCAAUGGUUUAGUUAAAAAGAUGAUUAAAUGGAAAUGAAAAGUUUUCAUUGUUGUUUUGUUUACUUUCUUCUAUUACGACCAGCGCGGUUGUUUGUAUUUCAUUUUCUUUUCCCAAGCCCUUCUUAGAGCACUUACUAAGUUACUUAGGGAAUCUCAAAUCUCACUGCAUUGACCAUAGUAGCUUGCAUCCAAUGUAUUCUUUUUGAUACUAUAUGGUAUACUGAACACAAACUUAAUCUUGAUAAAAGAAAAAGUGAAGGAAAGUUUCUAAUAAAUAGAUUUCUUGCUUGAUCUCACCUUUACCUUUCAUAUUCCUUGCACUAACAGUCUUAUUAUAUUUGCAAUUUCUUAAGUGAUCUCAUUGAGGAAAUUCAAUAAGUGAUCAAAGAACCCUUUCCUUAUUUGAUUCUUCUUCUCCCUGAACUAUACCUUAAAACGUCUUUGGAUAAGCUCGAGGCUUUUAACAUAUAGUGAACACAAUUUGCCAAGAGUUGGUUGUGACAAAAGUGGUUAAGAUGUCCAUCUUUGGUCAAGAAUGAGUAACAUAUUAGUCAAAGAGAGCAGCUACGAAGAGGAGGUUGUUGAUGCAGUUUUCUUUAUUUGGUGUCAUUCUGAAUCUACAUUGAUUCUGUAUCUAAAAAAGCCAAUGGGCUUGUCUGUCCUCAUUGGUCCAAAGGAAUCAAAGAGAACAAGUAAACUAGGCCCCACGGUGUCUUCUCCCUUAACAGGCUGGACAAAGAUCCCUGGGUUGAAGAAAAUUUUUGACUUCUACUAGAUCACGAAGACGGGCUAUUCUCCGUCUUUUUUUUCCUAGAAAGGAGAUCCAAAUCUCUGAUCAAUGACAUCGCAACCAGGUUGGUCUCAUAGUUAUGCCUUCGGGCAGGACAUGUUGGUCACGAUUUAAUGUGAAAUAUGAAUCAUCUAGUGGUUCGCUCGCUCUAUUAGAGAGAAGAAAACAUAGAAUGAGUAAGACAUGAACUUGCGUUGACAGAGAAGAUAAUUUUGUUUACACUUUUGAGAGUCCAAGAAUUAGAAAGAGGUGGAAUACUUAGUUGUGUUGUGAGACAGGAAAGCCCUCUUACUAUGAAAUCAUGUACUUAUUCAUUUCAUUAGUAGAAGAUCGAGCUAGUUCGUCUAUCACUGUAGUGAGGCAAAGCGAAAGUGCUUGAAAGCAAGUAUCCAUAUCCUUUCUAGCUGGCUAAGGCUGGGCGGAGUGAACCAGUAGCAAAGUUGGGGUUUAACAACAACAUGAAAGAAAUGUUGUUACCAUAAUGAGGUGGAAUACUUUUUAACCCAGUCAAAAGUUAUCUAUAUUUUCCUCGAUUGAGUCUAGUAGAGGAAGGGAGAUAGGAGAUAGGAAUGAAGUGAAGCCACUUCUUAUUUGUGUUUUCACAAUAUUUGAAAAAUGAUGUGAUGAUUUGCAUGUUGCAAGAUUUUUAGUUGCAAGUUGCAUUCUGAGAAUUGAAAAUUGCGUAGAUAAACAACGAGUCCCAGUGAGAUAAUUAUUUCGUAUUGUAGUGAUAAAAGCAACAAAGUAGAUUUGUCUCUAUUAUAGUUUAGCUUAGAAGUGAAGUCGAAGUCCAUUAUAUGUUUUUUUUCUAAGCUUUCAAGCCGGUGAACGAGAUUUCUCUAUCUUCUAAGGGGAGGGGAGCUGGGCAGAAGGGUUUGAUGAUGAAUCAAAGUCCAAAUGUUGAUGCUUUCUAUCCCGUAGCUCAGUGAAAAAAUGAAAUCAAUCUAAUUGAAGAGGACCAAUCCAUCAAUAGCUAUUGCACUAGCCCCCAUUCUCGACCUGGUCUUGACACUUGUGAUACAUUUCUUUAAUUAAUAUAAACAAAAGGAUUUGGUACUCCUAGAGGAUAGAGAAGAUUCGGUCCAUUGUGGUGUCAAUGUCUCUUGAUCAACCUUCCGUAUCGAAUAAGAAAUUUAGUAUUGAAAACAAGAUAAAGGGGGUUGGAUGUCAUUCAAGGAUUACAUCUAGUAAAGCUAAAAGCAUCUACCUGGAUGAUACGAGAGAAAAGUUUAUUCAUCAUUCACGUAUGUAUACCAAAUGAGAUCCAGGAUGAAUUGACUUUAUAUAACUACAAUUUGAUAUGAAAUUAUACAAUAAUAGGUGAGUUGGUACCAACGAGUGCUCCUUUGCUAAAUAAGAUGAAAAAUGGUAACGUACAUAAUUGUGAAAUAACAGAUUUUUUGUUCAGUUGGGCUUGGGCAUAGGGAUAGGACCGCCCAUAUUCAAAGUCAAAGAGAGAGGCUAAGAAGUAAGUGUUUCCGUUACACACCUAUUCUCUUUAUUUCUUUUAGUUGAGAUUGGAAAUAAAAUACUAAAAGUGCCCUACUCCAUCAAUAGGUCGGCAACGACCGGUAGGGAAAACGAUUGGAUAUAGAGUGGAAUGUGGAAUGAAUCCAAAGGCUAAUUUGACACUCUGAUAAUCCCAGGAGAGGAGAGUAGGGAUCCUCCAACCUGAGUUUGAAACUCUGAUAUGUAAAGGAGGAGUCCAACUCCUCCUGAAAUUGUAUUAAUUGUAGAAGAAACUGCAACUUCCAUUAUAAAUUCAGGGAAUUAGAAAAGCCCAAAUCUAUAAAAGACAUAGUGUAUAUUUAUACGACUUCUUCAAGCCCCAGCCCUACUGGAGGAACUACAACUCGUGAUACAAUGCCCACUAGUAAUAAACUUAGACUGUGACUCAUACAAUGGGUCUCGCGGGACAAACAAGGUCUCAAAGGAAAAGAGUAAGCAAGUAGAUCUACAUUAGUUUAAUCUUGUUUGUUAUCUUAGUUGUUGCUUUUGCCUUAUCGAGAAAGACGAACGUGAAAGAACUCUCUUCUUCAUUGACUUCUUUAAAUGACUAAUGUUAACGAAAAGAACCGAAAGGUUAUUCUAUCCAAUCUUCAGUGAUCUCUUUCUCGGCUGAUUUGAAUUCUAAAUUUUAAACAGUUAACAAUACGUUAUUAUGUUCGAUCUAUUCUGGCAAUAAGCUUCAUGUUGGUAGAGAGGGGUGCUUUGAUCUCACUUGGAAAACAAAGCACGGAAUCAGACUUGAGAAGACUGUACCAAAAAUCCUUUAACAGAAUGGUGUUGCAAAAAGGAUGAAUAUAAUAAUUGAAGAGAGAGUCAGGUGUCUGCAUUUUGAUGCCAAGCUUCCUAAAUUAUUUUGGGUAUAGGGUAUGCAUACUGCAGUAAACCAGGGAGAGUUUGGACUCAGAAAGAUGUUUCUUAUAAACAUUUAAGAGUGUUUGGCUGUAGAGCAUAUGUUCACAUCCCUAAAGAUGAGAGAUUGAAGCUUGAUGAUAAAGCCAAGGAAUGCAUUUUCUUAGGCUAUGAACAUAAAGAAUUAAGUGUAGAUUAUAGGAUCUACUAGCAAGGAAGUUGAUUAGAAGUAGAGAUGUUGUGUUCCUUGAAGAUCAGAUAGUUAGUACUGUAGAGAAGAGUAAUGGGUUUAAGUUAUCUUUAGAGAUUCCUUUAUUCCAACUUCAGUUUCUCCAUUUAUACUUCAUGAUGAUCAUGGGGGAGCUAGAGAGGAUAAUAAUGAUAGUCUAAUAAAAGUAGUUGACCAGGUACUUCUAAAACCACCUACACCACUAGUUGAGCCAUAAUUGGGGAGAUCCACCGGAGAACAAUGACCUUCCACUAGAUAUCUUCCACAUGAGUAUGUGAUGCUUACAUAAGGAGGGGAGCCAAAAUGUUUUGAAGAAGCCAUGUCUCACCAGCAUAAAAAUGAGUUGGUUAAAGCCAAGCAAGAGGAGAUGAAAUCCUUGAAUGAGAGGCACACUUAUAACUUAGUAAAACUUCCUAAAGGAAAGAGGGCACUGAAGAACAAGUGGGUUUACAGGUUGAAGAUUGAAAAUAACUCACAACAACGGUACAAGGUUAUAUUAGUUAUGAAUGGCUUUGGUUAGAAGAAAGGUGUUGAUUUUGAAGAAAUAUUUUCUCAUGUGGUGAAGAUAUCUUCUAUCCAAGUAGUUUUGGAAUUAGCAGCUAGUUUGAAUUUGGAUAUUGAACAGCUCGAUAUCAAGACAAUGUUUUUGCAUGGUGACUUAGAGGAGGAAAUAUACAUGAAGCAAUUUGAAGGGUUCAGUGUCAAAGGCAAAGAAGAACUUAUAUAUAAGUUAAAGAAAAGUUUAUAUAGUCUGAAACAGGCACCAAAACAGUGGUACAAAAAGUUUGAUUGUUUUAUGGAGAAUCAUGGCUUCCCCAAGACUAUGUGUGACCAUUGUGUUUUUGUGAAGAAGUUUGAUGAUGAUGAUUUCAUCAUUCUUUUGCUUUAUGUAGAUGAUAUAUUGAUUGUUCGCCAAGAUGCUAGUAAGAUUGGCAAUAUGAAGAGAGAGUUUAGUAAGUCUUUUGCAAUGAAGGGCUUGUGACCAGCGAAAUAGAUUCUUGGCAUGAAUAUUUCUCACGAUAAAAAAUUUGAGAAGUUAUGGUUAUCUCAAGAAGAAUAUAUUGAAAGGGUUCUUCUAAGAUUUAACUUAGGUAAGGCAAAAAUUGUUUGUUCUCCACUUAUAAGUCAUUUUAAGCUUAGUUCUGAGGAUUGUCCUACAAGUGAGAAAGGGGAAAAAAAAAGUUGAAAGGAAUUCCUUAUGCUUCAGUAGUUGGUAGUUUGAUGUACGCCAUGGCUCGUAGAAGACUAGCUAUUACUCAUGCAGUUGGUGUAGUCAGUCAGUUUCUCUACAAUUCGAUCAAAGAAGAACUGGACAACAGUAAAGUGGAUUAUUAUAUAUCCUAGAGGCACUCAUAACAGCCCAAACUUCAACAGUGUGGUGCUUGUUCUACCACUGAAGUAGAGUAUAUUGCAAUCACUGAAGGUUGGAAAGAAACCUUGUGGAUGAAGAAUUUUCUACAAGAGUUCACUACAAUAAUUAUGGCCUUUAGUAGCAUUUAUAUUGUAGCAUUUAUUUUAAGAAUGUUACCAAAUAUCAAUUUAUUAUAACGUUUUACAAAAUGAUGCUACCUUUGUAAUAUGACAACCAUUACAUUUCGUUUUUAAUGACAUUUGAUCAUUACUAGUAGCAUUUUUGCAUAUGCUACAUAUAAUAUUGAAUUAUAUAGCAUUUAGGAAAUGCUACAAUAUAACAUUAAAUAAAGUAGCAUUUGAAAAAUGUAAUGGAAGAGUACAAAAUAUAAUAAUAUUUUAAAAUAGCAUUGAUAACAUUCUAUUGGUAGCAUUUUGAUUGAUAAAAUAAAUUAGUAUUUGAAAAAUGCUACAAGAUAAAAGGAUUGAAAUGUUAGACCAUCAAUAUCUAUUGGUAGCAUUCUAAAAUUAUGCUAUAGAAUAUUAAUUAAUAAAGAUAACAUUUUUAAAAUGCUACAAGAUAGUAGUAGAUAUAAUAUCAUUGUUUUUGCUAGAAAAUGCGGUAGCAUUACCACAUUUUAAAAAUAUAUAAAACAAUGAAAAGACAAUAAACCCAAUUUAAAAAAUGAAAAAAAUGGAGUGAAAAUAAAACUAAAGAUGUAGAAAAUGGGUAGUUUUAGUAUAAGACAAGUACCUACAAAAAGGGGUAAGUUCAGAAGAAGGUGGUACCUUAAAAAGAAAAAACAAAAACAAACAAAAGGCGCCUACAUUAUUUCCCUUCCCACUACAGCUUUAUAGAGAAUUCUCCUCUAAUGUCUAUUCUCCAUUCUAAUACUCACUAAAUCUCAAAAAGGAAAAAGGGAAAAAGAAAAGAAAAAAAUGGAUGACGAUUCCCUGGCCACUUCACAUAUAUUUUCUGACUUGAGAAAGAUUAGGCUGGCUACUCGGUAAUUUAGAAGUGAUCUAAUUGAUUUGGUAAGGAUUCUCACUCAUGCAACUUCAAUUUCGCUACUAUACCCAUGGCCGAAACAAGUAUAUAACCCCAAUUUGGGUGCUCUUUCUUCCAUCUACAUGAGCAAUUAAUGAUUAAAAUGAUUUAUUUACUAUUUGUAUUUGGGUUUGAUGAUUGAACAUUUAAAAGGAAAAAUCAUGCUAUCUUCUUAAUUAUUUGUGGAUUAUUGAUAUUUUUAUAACUUAUUUUUUUAAUCUCUAAAUCCCUAGCAUUCUAGCAAUAUUUACUAUUAGUUGCAUCAGUCUAUUGUUUUUAGCUUAUUUGCUAUUAUUAUACCUUGACUGGUUAUGAUUUCUUUCUCUCCUGAGCAAAUUAAUCCUGGGUUUUGAUAUAUUUUGUAAUCGUUAGUAUUAACACAAUUUUAAUUCUAGAAUCUCAAAUUUAUUGUUUGCUUGGUAUAGUCUUAGCAUUUGAUGGAGGAAUUAUCAGCUUCCCACUCAAUAGAUUUGUAGCAAUGUGCAUAUCAACACUGAAGUAGGUUUAGUAAACAAACUUAAGUCCCAAUAUAAUUUUCUGGCAUUGUUUAUUUCAUUUUAAUAUUUUUCAAAACUUGUUUAGGGGCCAACAUCUCUUUAACAAUUAUUAAAGUUUUUGCAUUAUAAAUUUUAUGGGUUGUGUUCUUAAACUAACUCAUAUUUUUUGUGUUUUAUAUGUGUAACUUGGGGAAAAUGAGCAAGAAAAAAUGAAGUUAAGACCUGAUAAUAUCUUAUCAAUAAGUGAGUGGAAAAGUUUUGUGAAAGAAAAAGAAACGGUGAAAAAUUUAAGAUAAGUGUAUUACUAUAUUAGAAUAUGUAAUUGUAGCUAUAUCUAUGUAACUGAACAAAGCUUAUUCAAUUGUGUAGGAAAGAAAUGAAAUAUUUAGAAAGAUUUGCUAGACACAAAUCCCAUAAACAACAAGGCAUAGAUGAGUUGUUAGAAUGACGGAAGAUAUGGUUAAUAUAUAUAUAUAUAUUUCCAUAAUAAAAAUUUAGCUAAGCAAUCAUUUCUUAAAUUAUUUUCUAUUAUAUAAAAAAAGUAGUAUUAUUUUGAAAAUAAUUGUCCAAUAUGGGAAAGCUAGUUGAAGAGCUACAUAAAAAGGCGGCAAGCAUGUAUUAUGUUUUAUUCACUUUUAUAUAAUUGUUAUAAUAUUUAGUUAUUGAGUUUUUAUUUUUCAUUAUAGAGUCAUUUUCAUGAAAGCCAAGCAUGUAGGAAUCCUCCAAAAAUACCAUUGACUUCUUUACUGGUAAGAAUACUAUUUACAUUUUAAAUUCAAUUAAAGCAUGAAAAAUAAAAAUAUUGAAGGAUUAUCUUUAAUGAUAAUAUAUUUUUGGUUUUUAAAUUGUCCUUGUAUUGCAAUUGAAGAGUGUGAAGGUAUUCCCAAAAGUGACUAAGUGUAUAAUGCUUGAUUUAGUGGGGUGUGAUGUUGUUGAAGGGCAUUGGUCAUCAAGUAAUCUAAAUGCACUUGUUCAUCACAUUCCUCUUGGUUCUAAUACCAUAAGAGUUUUGCAUGGAUCUAGUAAUGCAAUCUCUAAAGCUUUAUGUAAAGUAAUGCUUCAUAUGUCUACAAUUGAAACAUUUGUUGGGAGUACAAUUAUGUGGCCUCCUAAUGAGUUGUCUUGUUUCUUUCCAAAUAGCUUUUCCAAUUCAUCUAUUUGGGUAAUUUUUUUCACUUCCUUUUCUUUUUUACGUCGACUUUAUAUAUUUUAAUAUUAAUAGCGAAUUUGAUCUAGUUUGCAGCUAUAAGAAAGUAACUUCGCAUUUUGCUACUUUGAGAAGGUCCUUAUUAAUAUUAUUAUUAUUUUUCAAUUAAGUGAAGCUUGGCUUUUUAGAUUUUUUUUUCGUUCAUUUACUUUGAGCAAUUAUUUGGACAAAUAAUUGUUUUAUUCAUUUUCACUAGGAGCCAUAUGCCAAGGCUUCACCAUGGCCAUUUGUUUUUGAAAUGUUGAUCUUGGCGGGUUGUGAUUUAGCUUUUCUUGUAUUCUUCUUAUUACUUUGAUUCUUAUUGCUUAUCGUUACAUUAUAGCUUAAUCUCCUAAUAAAUGAAAAUAGAUCUUUUCCUCCUUUAAUGCAAAGAUAAAUGUUCGUUACUUUAGAUUUUCAAUAUUGUUAUUUUUAUUUGUACUUACUAACAGAACAUUAUUUUCCUUCUCAUUUUUUAAAGCUUUAUUAUUUAUUUUUUUUAUGUCAAAAUGUAACUAUGUUUUUGUGUUCAAUUCAUGAUGUAGGUUGCAAAGAUCAAGUAUAUUUUGUAAAGAGUAGAAGGCAAGUUGUGGAUGUAAUAACAACUUUAUUUGGUUUAAUUCAUGGGGAGAAAAAGUGCAAGUAUGACAUGAACAUAAUUUUUUUGUUUAAAUCUUUUUGUGUUCUUGGAGGUAUAUGAUCAUGUGAUUUUGGAUGCUUAUAUAUAGUUAUUGUGAUUAAUAUAUAGUGACUGUUUUUUUCCCUUAACGAAUGAUAGAUUACAUGUCAAAUUGUUUAGGAUUUGAUAUUUAAAGUUAUCUUUGGUGAAUAAACAUUUCAAUGUGAAUUUAUCAAUUUAAACAAAUAACAUUGAACAACCAAAAAAAGAUUAUCUGCUAAGAUUCAUAGCUUUUUACAAAUACUACAAUAGAAAAAUUUAAAAUUAUUCAUAACAUUUACAAAUAGCUACAUUACACAUAUUUUAUUUAAUUUUUUUACUAAUCAUAAAAUUAUUAAAAUGUUAUAAUUAUUAUUAAAAAUGCAUUAUCAGAGUGCUAUGAAAGGCAGGUGGUAGCAUUAUAAAAUGGCUCUUGUAGCAUUUUUUGAAUGUUAUAUAUAAAAUUUAGUAUCAUUUCGUAAAUGCUACAAAUUGUACAAUGAUAGCAUCUGCAUGAAGCUACAAAAUAAUAUUCAGUAGCCAUUUUUAAAUGUUAUGUAUUCAAAUUGUUAGCAUCCAAUAGAUGCUACUAAAUGGUAAGUGUAACACCCCAAAUCUAACACGUGUGGAGCACGUGAAGAAGGAGGUUACUUACAAAUCAUAAUCUAUACUCAUAAGUUUCAAACUGAAAUACCUCCAAUCUAAUUCAAACAAAAAAAUUACAAAUUCAAACGUCUAAUACUAAAUAAUCUCUCCCGAGGACAUAAAAAUAAUAACAAAAUUCUCAAACUUCAAAUUACACGUUCAUAAUAGAAGUAACUAAAUAGAAACACAAGUCUAUUCCUCCUCUUAUUCAAAUAGCAACGGAAACAGAAAAUUACUAACUCCAAAGUUAAGCGCCUCUCUCAAAGAAACUUAAUCUGCAAAAAGUAAUGACGAGGGGUGAGCCGUCAACUCGGUAAGUAAAGCCAUUUAUAACAUACUAGGCCUAUCGAUACAAAAAAAAUAUUGCAAGCCUUCUUUUAUUUAAAACAUAUAUCAUAAUCCAUAAAUUUCAUAAAACGAUAUAUCACGAUAACAUAACAUAAAUUCUUAAUAAUUCAGAAUAUUCAAAAGCAUAUUUACUUACGAAGCAAAUCAUAUCAUACAUAUACAGAAAACAAAAGGUUAGCUCUUGUCACAUAGUGUCACCUAUAGUCCCGGUGACCCGGCCAGAAACAGAAUCAGAAUAUCGUGUGCACACUUAGAACAGAAACCCAGUACUGGUCUAGACAGAUAUAUCGUAUAUUACGAUCAGAAUCAGAAUCAGAAUAACUAUGGACAAUGAGCCAAAACAUUAGGAAUCUCAUACAAUCAUCAGUAAUCGAAAUCAUAUAUGGGUACAAAACAUUCGUAUCAGAUUUAUAAAAGUUCAUAACAAUAAUUUAGGCUUGCAUAACAUUUUAAAGAUAAAAUCAUAAAAGAUUGUCAUGUCAUAAAAUCAUUUACAUAUUAAAAAGCAUUUAUAAAAUACUUUGUUUAAAAAGAAUUUAGCUUUGAAAACAUUUACAUAAAACUAAUUUUGUUAUCAAAAUAAAUUAAUCCUUUAAGUAGUAUAAAAUAUUUAUACUUAUAAUAAUAAUAUCAAAAUACUUAUACACAUCCAGUAUACUAGGAAUGAAGUUACUUACCUCGACAAAUGAAUGAAUAAACACACCUCUAAGCUUCUAAGAGCCUCAAUCACCUUCAAUACCUUAAAGAAAUACAAGAUAUGACAAUCAAUAACUUAUUUUAAGAAUCUGAUUUUCUAAUUCAUACCCGUACAGGUCUGAUUCUCAGAAUUUCAACUCUUAAUCUAAGAUUCAGAAUGAUAUAAUAUCAUAUGGAACUAUUCUGGACAUCCAUGAGUACCCCAUGUAAAAUUUACAAGAGGAUCCGAUAUCAAAAACAUUUUAAAAACUAUUUAAGAAACCCUAUUUAAUAAGGAAAAAUAACCCUUUUCCAAAAUUAUCUCAUAAAUAACCUCUAUUUAAUUAAUACCCCUUUCUUAAUAAUGGUUAUAGGCCACCCAUAAUUCUCAAUGAAAGCCCAAUUUCCAUAAUUUAAUAUGUAUGGGAAUUUGUGGCGUUACAGUAAGACUUUUAGUUAUAUGGGCAAACUUGGCAUUAUUUUAAAUGCUACCAUAUAUCUUUUUUGUUGUAGUGAUUGGGCGUGAAUCAAGACAACUUUAUUGUGUACUGCGACAAUCAGAGUUCCAUUCACUUGGCAAAGAAUUCGACAUACCAUUUGAAAUGCAAACAUAUUGAUGUGAGGUAUCAUUACAUACGAGACGUGCUUGAAAAGAAACAAUUGCAGCUUGAGAACAUACACACAACGGAGAAUAGGCCAGAUAUAAUGAUAAAGAUGUUGCCCAAGGAGAAGCUGAAAAGCUGCAAGCAAAGAGCAGGCUUAGUGGUGCCCUCCACAUGAUCUGGAGGGGGAGAUUUAUUGGGUCCAUCUCAUUUUGGUGGCCCAAGCCCAAAUUGCAUUAGUUUAGGCAGCUAAGUAAUUAAAGAAAAACAACAUGGGGUUAAAUGAAAUUUGCCUUUGAAAUAGGUUUUGUGAUUCAUAUGGCCAUAUAAAAGAAAAGAAAAGCAAACAGUAGCUGCAUACUAAAAAGAAAAAAAGACAAGAGAGAGAAAGAGAGAGUAGUGGCGUUUUCUCUAGAAUUGGGAGCAAGGUUUUCAAUGUUUGAUUGGACAAUCGGAAGCUGAUUUUGACUUCGUUUUCUCCCAACUUUUGAGAGUAAGUUUCUGGUAUCGCCUUCUACAAUCAUACUGGUCUUGAUUUUUUUUUAUCCUCUUGUUGUCUAUUAUUUGAGAUACCCACUUGUUAGAGAGACCGACAUUAGUCUGUUAUUGUAACCACGAAUAUCGAGAUUCUUGAUAUUGUUAGCCUUUAAUAUUAUUUAGAGAGGAAUUUGUGCUGUAAUCCCAUUAAUAUAGUUGAAGAUUAUAUCGAACUACGGUCCCGUAAUUUUUUCUAUUUUGGGUUUUCAUGUAAAAUCUGUGUCUCUUAUGGUUGAUUUAUUACUUCAGAUUUUGUUGGUUUAUUUUUCUGCCUAUUUAUUUAUAGUACACAUCUUAUUUUAAUCACACAAAAAGAGAAAGAUGUUUGUUUCUGCUUCAUUUACAAUUGCUUUUGUGAGUUCCUUUCUCAACAAGCUAUGAUUUAAAAAACAAUUACAAAAUUAUUUGGAGUGUAAAAUAAACUCAAAAAGUUUUAAAAUUUUACACAUAGCUUAUUACAUGUAUCUAGUAUUCACAAUUUUAAUUUCAUAAUUUUUUUAUUAAUAUAUAAUUUUAUAAAAAUCCUGGAAUACAUAAUGUUUUAGUUAAAGCACUGUAAAAUAGUUUUGAAUUUGUCAUAAAACAAAUAGCUUUGAAAUUUUUUUUGGUAUCAGUUCAUCAUGAAGAUUUUAUGGGAGAUACUUAUGGUUGUCCACCAUAGUUCGUCAUUCCAAUUAUUAUUUUAAGAGUAAAAGUUCAAAGAAUCAGACCUGUAGGAUAUGGGUUAGAGAAUCAAGAUGUUGGAAUUAGUUGUUAGUCGCUACAUUUUGAAUUGUUUAAGGUGUCUGAGGCUGAUUGGAGGCUUAGAAGUGUGUUUAAAUAAUUUCUUCUAUCAAGGUGAGUAACUCCACUCCUAAAGCACUAGAUUUGUGUGACUCUAUUGAUAUCUUAAUAUUAUUGUAAGUAACAUCAUUUCUAGUGUACUGGAUAUCUAGAGUAUUGGAUAUGUAAGAUAGUUUUGAUAUUUUAACAUUAUUACAAGUACAUGUGCUUUUUUUAGUUCUUCAAAACAAAAUUAUUUAUGUAAGUGUUUUAAUAUAAUUUUGAUAGAGUGCUAGAUUUGUGUGAUUAUAUUGAUAUCUUAAUAUUAUUGUAAGUAACAUUAUUCCUAGUGUACUGGAUAUUUAAGAUAAUUUUGAUAUUUUCAUAUCUUUACAUGUGUUUUUUUUUUAAUUCUUCAUCAUAAAAUUAAUUCAUGUAAAUGUUUUCAAAUAUGAAAAUUAUGUUAUUUUUAUGGAUCUAAUAGAAUAUUAUUAAUGCCUUUAAAUAUGUAAUUUAUUUUGUUACAUGACUAUCUUCUAUGAAUUUGUCUAUGAAAUAUUACAAUGGAAUUUAUUUUGCAAUCCUAAAUCAUUGUUGAUCUUUUAUGAAUUCGAUAUAAAUAUUUUAUUCACAUAUACGAUUGAGAUUAUUUAUGAUUGUUUGGGGGCCAGAGUGCCCCGAAGUGCUACAUAGUACCACAUGCAAGUCGUGACGUAUGGAAAAUGAAUUUAAAUAUUUUGGCUCAUUGUCUAUAGUUAUUUUUAUUUUGAUUCUGAUCGUAUAUAUCAUAUAUAUGUUCUGGACCAAUACUGAGUUUCUAUUUUGAGGGUGCACACGAUAUUCUGAUUCUGAUUCUAUUCUGGCUGGUCACUGGGAGUAUAAGUGAUAUUUUGUGACAUGAGCUAAUCUUUUGUUUCCUGUAUUUAUAUCUUAUACGAUUUGUUUUUGUGAUUAAUUAUGACUUUGAUAUCUGUAGAGGGCAUUUGAGUCACUUCUUGAGAGGUGUGUUUAUCGUUGGAGGUGGAGAUUUAUUUACUUGCUAGUUGAAUAAAAGAAUGAUGAAUUUCUAUUUCCUUUAAGCUUGUUAGUGUUCUAAACUUAUAAUUGGGGAGUUUUGAGACUUUUGUUACAUUUAUGAUUUGCGAGAAUAUGUCAAGUAUUCAACUUGUGGAUUUGUUGAUUUGUUUAAUAAAGUUUGAGGUAUUUCAAUUUGAGAUUUUGUGUAAGGAUUUCGAUUUGUAUGUAACCUUCUAUUACCAGGUGUUAAAUUGGGGUGUUACAUAACCACAACUAUUGGACUCUUUUUCAUGNNNNNNNNNNNNNNNNNNNNNNNNNNNNNNNNNNNNNNNNNNNNNNNNNNNNNNNNNNNNNNNNNNNNNNNNNNNNNNNNNNNNNNNNNNNNNNNNNNNNAAAGAAAAGAUAAAGAAAGAAAGAAGAAGAUGAUGAGAGAGAGUGAGAAAGAGAAUGAGAUUGGGGAUUAAGAAGAUGAAAAGUUAAAUUUUUAAUGAGUUUCUUUACAUGGAUUAAUGAACUUUUAUUUUUUACCAAGAAAUUGAAAUGAUUUUGAGUAAACCAUCAUAAAUUAUUUAAACUUUGACAAAUUCUAUAUCCUCGAAAUAGAAAUAUGAAAAUUUACUGUAUGCAUCUUUAAAUAUUGUUUUGCUAAAUAAGAAUUAUGUUAUGACAUGAUUUUUAUACUCCAUCCAUGUCUGAAUUUCAGUCUGAUAUCAAGUUUCAAAUAACAAAAUCAAGUGAUUUUGAGUAAAGUAUUUAUGGUAGUAAAAUUGGUAUUUUAAAUUUGUAGAACCUUUUUUAGUCUUACUAAGGCUACAAUAGUUUUGCUUUUGAAGAUCAAUUUUAGGAAAAUUUAGCAUGCAUAUUCUUAAAAUCCAUUUAAUUUAUUCAUGAUUAUGUCAAAAUGGAGAAGACCAAUUUUAGUAAGUUUCUAGCAUGCAUGUUCUUAAAAUCUAUUUAAUUUAUUCAUGAUUAUGUCAAAAUGGGGAUGUUAUUAGCUAGCAUUGUAAUUAGAUAAAUGUAUUGUUAUUUUUUGCUUAAGAAGUAAUGUCAACAAGAAAAGAAUCAUCAGUGAACUUACUUUAUGUUGCUUAGAGUGCGGUAGGCAUAUUAUGUGCUUUCAGAGAGUUUUGGUUUUCAACUUAUUGAACAAGACCAAAACCUUCAACAGGUACUGGACCAACUUAUUGAGAAGGAACAAGUACUAGACGACACCACAAGUUCAUUAUUAAUAGAUCAAUUUAACUAUGCUAUGCCCCCCUUCUUUGCCACCGGCACACUUUCAGUAUUGAAUUCAGGUGCCAGAACAAUAUCCUCUAAAGCAAUGGGCAUAGUCGAGCUCGUAGUGUCUGUCUCUGUCUCUGUCACAGUCUAACCUAACUGUUCAGCCAUUUCCUAUUAACGAUCAUAGCAUAGCUCCUUCUCAGUAGGUCUACUUGUGACAAUUCUUUCUAACUGAGAGUCUGAAAUAAAAGUCGUCUUUUAGGGCAUCUCAUAAGAACCAUAUUCAUUAUGUCAAAAAUAAGAGAUUCUAGUACUUCGACUAGCAUUAGUUUUCAAUAGAUUCCCAAAAAGAUGUACAAGUCUCGGUAUUCUAAUUGUACUUAUGGCUAGUUAUAGUUUGAGUCUCGCACCUGUGCCAAGUGGUAAUAGCAAGCAGGCUGAGUUCCUUUCUCGUCUCAGACUUAUAAUUGAUUUAUCAGCGACAACAUCAAAUCAACAAAGAUUUGGUGUUACCUGAACAUCAUCCCCCUGACCUUGAGACGUUUGGAAUGGAAGAAUAAUCUGAGUUUGCCUAUACCAACCACAUGUUUUCAUUUUAGAGAGAAUCUUAUUCGGGAUCAAAAGACGGCUAAGGCCUAACGUUGUUAGAGGAGACCUUCUCUUACUGGCAUUCACUUGGAGCUCUCUUUUUAGGGCAACCCUUUCACCGAUCUUCAAAUUGUAUGAGAAGUUGUACUACUAACUCUGUCUACGAUGGGUGAGUGUCGAUUUCAUUACAAACAUAUAUUAACGUAUAUAGAAUAGAAAUAGGAGCAGCUAUUGCCCACUGAUGUUAGCGUAAAGGUCCUUAGUCAAACAUAAGGAUCUUAUUCAUUAAAGGAUGGAAAACGAAGGUAAACCAAGAGUACCGAAACUCAUCAACAAGUAGGCAUGUCCAUUACUAAAUCUUUAAGUAUUAGUAAUGCUACUAGGCACUAGACAUAUCUUCCACUACUUUCAAUCGGGAUAAAUAACUAUUUAAGUGGAAAGGCCUAUCUAUACGGUUCAGUUCUCUCUAGACUUAACCAAUUCGACUAGGGUAGCCUGUUUAGGUGUUAGAUAGUGUCUUCUUAGCCUUGGAUUUUCUUACCCUUAGAUUUUUUCUUCUUUAUGGAUUGCAAUUGUUUGGUUAUAGCCGGCACCGUAGAAAUCUUAGCAAACCUUUUCCUUUUUUGCAGGAGCUCAAUUUUGGAUGACAUCUCUUAGAUAUCAUUCUUCAGCUUCUCUUUUUCUUGAUUGAGAAUUUUAUCACCUAAAACAAGUUCAAUCUCAAUUUGAGAAUUAAGUGAGGUAUCAUUGUUGAGUGUUAGAAAGUGUAUAUUUAUAAAAGAGAAAAUCAUAAUUUUACACUUCAAGUCUCACUACAUCCAUACUUGUAUAUAUUUAAGUCCUUUGUGAUUUAAUUAUGUGUGUUUUAUUUUAAUUAAGUAUUUUAUGUAUUUUAGGGGCAUCAUGGUCAUUUCACAAUGAACAAAAGAUUAGAUAGCAAAGCAGACUGUAAUUUUGGACUCAGGCAGUCGAAAACCUUAUGAGGAGCAUAAAAGAGUAAACGGCACUGUUCACAUGUACGGUACUGUACAUAGGACUGUUCACGACACUGUUCACAACACUGUUCACAUAUACGGUCUGAUGACAUGACGUUGACCGAUGACGUGGCUCGACCGAUGACAUGGCACCAACCAAUGACGUGGCAGCAUUCAAUUGGACGAAUGAUGUGGCAUUGACUGCUUAUGUGGCGUUGACUGAUGAGUUGGCAUUGACCGAUGAUGUGUCACGAUGCUAUUGAACUAAAAUGUUGAUGCGAUGUUGAUCAGUGAUGUGGCAGUAUGUUAGUGGACCAGGAAACGUUCGUACGAUACAUGUAUUACACAGAAUGACAACCUUGAUGAUGUGUUCUAUCUAAUCAGAACUUGCCACGUGGCGCAAUCCUAAGCGUCCAAAUUGUUUUAAUCUGUGGCCAUGAUUUAAUCAUUGUAUCUAAAAAAGGGGGCUCUGCCCCCCUAAUUCGACACCCCUAAAUCCAUUUUUUAGCUCAAUUUUCUGUAAUUCCUUCUCCAUCUUGUAUUUUCUAUGUAUUUUAAUAAAUUUCCAUUUUACCCCUAUUCCAAAUAUGAGUAACUAAUUUUCUUUUAAGCUUAGGUUGAAGGUGAAGUCUCAACAUGUUCCAUGAGCUUAAUUUGGUAAAUUUACUUUCUCUUCCCCUCUAAUAUCUGUGGAUGUUUUGACUUUUCGUCGAUAGAUAAUAAUAAUCUUGUCUAGACGUAGUAGAAGGUUAUUACUAUUUGGCACGAUAAGCCCUUAGCAUCAUAUCUAUUAAUAAGGAAUAUCUAACUCAUGGCGCAUGUUGAUACAGAUCCAGAUACCUAAGCACUUUAUUUCAAUAGUUUCCAGUUUAAUUUAUUCUCGCCAUUCCAAUUUAAAUUCUAGGAUAAUCUAAAUCAAUUUAACCACAAAUCCAAUCACCCACUGAGAAAAUUAACUCUACACAAUUAAAAUCCACCUCCUGGUGGGAUCGACGCUCAUCACCAUUGAUUUAUUCUACAAUAGAUUCGUGCAUUUGUGAGUUCAAUAAAAUUUGUACAACAAGUUUUUGGCACCGUUGCCGGGGAGGUAAGUUUUUUUUUAAUUCGUAGAAUUAAUUUUUGUAAAUAAUUUCUUUUAGUUGUUUUCUUGUAAUUUUUUUUCUUAUUAAAAAAAAAGAAAAAAAGUGAAUCUGCAUUUUAAGGUAAGAAUUUCUUUUCUUUUCUGUUCUUUAAAUUUUUGUAAUUUAGUUUUCAAGUUAUUUUUCUUUGUAAUUUCUCGUUUAUCUUGUUAAUUUAUU
rnacentral:lncRNA from 1 species